rnacentral:tRNA from 1 species
GCCUGGCUGGCUCAGUCUGUAGAGCGUGCGACUCUUGGUCUCACGGUCAUGAGUUCGAGUCCCAUGUUAGGGA